rnacentral:rRNA from 1 species
CAUGCAGUCGAGCGGAACGGCAGUAUUGAAGCUUCGGUGGAUUUACUGGACGUCGAGCGGCGGACGGGUGAGUAACGGCUGGAUCCCCUCCCUUCCGAGGGGGAUAACCGUUGGAAACGACGGCUAAUACCGCAUAAUGUCUACGGACCAAAGGUGGCCUCUACAUGUAAGCUAUCGCGUUGGGAUGGGCCCAGUUAGGAUUAGCUAGUUGGUAAGGUAAUGGCUUACCAAGGCGACGAUCCUUAGCUGGUUUGAGAGGAUGAUCAGCCACACUGGGACUGAGACACGGCCCAGACUCCUACGGGAGGCAGCAGUGGGGAAUAUUGCACAAUGGGGGAGACCCUGAUGCAGCCAUGCCGCGUGUGUGAAGAAGGCCUUCGGGUUGUAAAGCACUUUCAGCAGUGAGGAAGGUGGUGCACUUAAUACGUGCAUGGCUUGACGUUAGCUGCAGAAGAAGCACCGGCUAACUCCGUGCCAGCAGCCGCGGUAAUACGGAGGGUGCGAGCGUUAAUCGGAAUUACUGGGCGUAAAGCGCAUGCAGGCGGUUUGUUAAGUCAGAUGUGAAAGCCCGGGGCUCAACCUCGGAACCGCAUUUGAAACUGGCAGGCUAGAGUCUUGUAGAGGGGGGUAGAAUUUCAGGUGUAGCGGUGAAAUGCGUAGAGAUCUGAAGGAAUACCAGUGGCGAAGGCGGCCCCCUGGACAAAGACUGACGCUCAGAUGCGAAAGCGUGGGUAGCAAACAGGAUUAGAUACCCUGGUAGUCCACGCCGUAAAACGCUGUCUACUUGGAGGUUGAGGUUUA